GUCUACGGCCAUGCUACCCUGAACAAGCCUGAUCCUGUCUGAUCUCGGAAGCUAAGCAAGGUCGGGCCUGGUUAGUACCUGGAUGGGAGACCAGGUGCUGUAGACG
rnacentral:rRNA from 1 species